GCUGCAAAAUCAUGAUAUCAGUUUGGAGUUGAUAAAAUUCUCUUAAAAAUAAAAGAAAACGUUCUGAAAAUGCAAAAUAAAAGUUUCAUAUUUUAAUUCUUCGAUAUAUGAAACGAAUUUUAUGCUCGAAAAGCAUUGCUUCAGGACAUUCAGAUUAAAAUAGUAAUCCCCGAUUGACUUAUUAUCGUCGGACGUUUACGAUCGGCACUCGAUACACGCGAGUACUAAUGUUAUUAUAGUAUUAUGUGCCGAGUGCUAAAGCUAUACAGGCGGUAGACGCCACGAUAUUCGGCGUGAUAACGGUCUCGGCCAGGUAAGACCGCGGUU